rnacentral:tRNA from 1 species
GGGAAUGUGGCUUAGUGGUAGAGUGCUUGUCUAGCACGCAUGAAGCCCUGGGUUCAAUUCCUCAGUACCA